ACGAACGCUGGCGGCGUGCUUAACACAUGCAAGUCGAACGGUAAGGCCCUUCGGGGUACACGAGUGGCGAACGGGUGAGUAACACGUGGGUAAUCUGCCCUGCACAUCGGGAUAAGCCUGGGAAACUGGGUCUAAUACCGAAUAGGACCACAGGACACAUGUCCUGUGGUGGAAAGCUUUUGCGGUGUGGGAUGGGCCCGCGGCCUAUCAGCUUGUUGGUGGGGUGAUGGCCUACCAAGGCGACGACGGGUAGCCGGCCUGAGAGGGUGUCCGGCCACACUGGGACUGAGAUACGGCCCAGACUCCUACGGGAGGCAGCAGUGGGGAAUAUUGCACAAUGGGCGAAAGCCUGAUGCAGCGACGCCGCGUGGGGGAUGACGGCCUUCGGGUUGUAAACCUCUUUCACCAUCGACGAAGGUCCGGGUGUUCUCGGGCUGACGGUAGGUGGAGAAGAAGCACCGGCCAACUACGUG
rnacentral:rRNA from 1 species